ACUCCACUGCUAUCGGGGUAAGGCUAAGCCAUGCAAGUCGAAGGCCUCCGGCUCCGGGGGCCUGGCGUACGGCUGAGUAACGCGUGGCCAACCUGCCCUGCGGAGGGGGAUAACCCCGGGAAACUGGGGAUAAACCCCCAUAGGUGACCGGGUCUGGAAGGACCGGUCGCCGAAAGUCCCGGUCGGGGAUGCUCCGGCCGGGAGCCGCAGGAUGGGGCUGCGUCCUAUCAGGUAGUUGGUGGGGUAACGGCCCACCAAGCCUGUGACGGGUAGGGGCCCUGAGAGGGGGAGCCCCCAGAUGGACUCUGAGACAAGAGUCCAGGCCCUACGGGGCGCAGCAGGCGCGAAAACUCCGCAAUGCGCUCACGCGUGACGGGGUUACCCCGAGUGCCACCCUCGUGGUGGCUUUUGCGCGGUCUAAAAAGCCGCGCGAAUAAGCGGGGGGCAAGACGGGUGUCAGCCGCCGCGGUAAUACCCGCUCCGCGAGUGGUGAGGACUAUUACUGGGCUUAAAGCGUCCGUAGCCGGCCCGGCGUGCUCCGCGUUAAAUCCAGCAGCCUAACUGCUGGGCUGCGCGGAUGACUGCCGGGCUUGGGGGUGGGAGAGGGCGGCGGUAUUCCCGGGGUAGGGGUAAAAUCCACUGAUCCCGGGAGGACCACCAGUGGCGAAGGCGGCCGCCCAGAACACGCCCGACGGUGAGGGACGAAAGCUGGGGGAGCGAUCGGGAUUAGAUACCCCGGUAGUCCCAGCCGUAAACGAUGCGGGCUUGGUGUCGGGCUGGCCACGAGCCAGCCCGGUGCAGAAGGGAAACCAUUAAGCCCGCCGCCUGGGGAGUACGGCCGCAAGGCUGAAACUUAAAGGAAUUGGCGGGGGAGCACCACAAGGGGUGGACGUUGCGGCUU
rnacentral:rRNA from 1 species